rnacentral:misc_RNA from 1 species
GUGGAUUGAGUGUUUCUCUAGCUGGCCCAGAUGGGCGUGUUAUUGGUGGUGGUAUUGCUGGUUCCCUUACGGCUGCAAGCCCCAUCCAAAUGGUGGUUGGAAGUUUCAUGCCAAAUGCAUUUAAAACACAUAACAAAAGGAAGCAUCAUCAGAUCGAAUCAAGAGGGCCUCCAGUCAUCCACAGCUCUCCAGAUCCUGUUUCAAUGAUAAGACCUGUCUCACAAGCACCACCGUCGAGCAACAUUACUCUGACUCAGACUUCUCAAGUACCAAGCCACAACCAUGGUGAAGCUGACAACAGCACGAGUAACAAGGACAUGCCG